rnacentral:rRNA from 1 species
UACGUAGGGUGCAAGCGUUGUCCGGAAUUAUUGGGCGUAAAGAGCUCGUAGGCGGUUUGUCGCGUCUGCUGUGAAAACUCAGGGCUUAACUCUGAGCUUGCAGUGGGUACGGGCAGACUAGAGUGCGGUAGGGGAGACUGGAAUUCCUGGUGUAGCGGUGAAAUGCGCAGAUAUCAGGAGGAACACCGGUGGCGAAGGCGGGUCUCUGGGCCGUAACUGGACGCUGGAGGAAGCGAAAGCAUGGGGAGC